AAACUGGAGAUGGCGACCGGCGCACGGGUGAGUAACACGUAUCCAACCUGCCGAUAACUCGGGGAUAGCCUUUCGAAAGAAAGAUUAAUACCCGAUGGCAUAAUAGAACCGCAUGGUUGAUUAUUAAAGAAUUUCGGUUAUCGAUGGGGAUGCGUUCCAUUAGGUUGUUGGCGGGGUAACGGCCCACCAAGCCUUCGAUGGAUAGGGGUUCUGAGAGGAAGGUCCCCCACAUUGGAACUGAGACACGGUCCAAACUCCUACGGGAGGCAGCAUG
rnacentral:rRNA from 1 species